UACGAAGGGGGCUAGCGUUGCUCGGAAUUACUGGGCGUAAAGCGCACGUAGGCGGUCUUUUAAGUCGGGGGUGAAAUCCUGGAGCUCAACUCCAGAACUGCCUUCGAUACUGGAAGACCUGAGUCCGGGAGAGGUGAGUGGAACUGCGAGUGUAGAGGUGAAAUUCGUAGAUAUUCGCAAGAACACCAGUGGCGAAGGCGGCUCACUGGCCCGGUACUGACGCUGAGGUGCGAAAGCGUGGGGAGCAAACAGG
rnacentral:rRNA from 1 species